rnacentral:lncRNA from 1 species
GUCCGCCCAACGGCGGAGGAAGGGGGCGGGACGCGGCGCGGAGCUGCCGCGCAGGGUUGGUAGGCACCGAGGUCCGAGUGGGGGACUGGGAGGUGCCGACGCUGCUCGGAGAUGGGCAGGGAGUGAAACUAUGUGGCCAUUCUAAGAAAUUCACUUUGGCCCAUCUGAAGUCCAUAUGGCUCUCUAUGAUGAAGAUCUCCUGAAAAAUCCUUUCUAUCUGGCUCUCAAGAAGUGGCGUCCUGACUUGUGCAGCAAGGUG